rnacentral:rRNA from 1 species
AUUGAACGCUGGCGGCAUGCUUUACACAUGCAAGUCGAACGGCAGCGCGGGCUUCGGCCUGGCGGCGAGUGGCGAACGGGUGAGUAAUACAUCGGAACGUGCCCAGUAGUGGGGGAUAGCUCGGCGAAAGCCGGAUUAAUACCGCAUACGACCUGAGGGUGAAAGCGGGGGAUCUUCGGACCUCGCGCUAUUGGAGCGGCCGAUGGCAGAUUAGCUAGUUGGUGGGGUAAAGGCCUACCAAGGCGACGAUCUGUAGCUGGUCUGAGAGGACGACCAGCCACACUAGGACUGAGACAAGACCCAGACUCCUACGGGAGGCAGCAGUGGGGAAUUUUGGACGAUGAGCGAAAGCAUGAUCAAGCAAUGCCGCGUGUGUGAUGAAGGCAUUAGGGUUGUAAAGCACUUUUGGCGAGAAAGAAAAGGACUGUGCAAAUACCUCAAUUCGAUGACGGUACCCGAAGAAUAAGCAACGGCUAGCUACGUG